rnacentral:rRNA from 1 species
AGUGAACGCUGGCGGUAGGCCUAACACAUGCAAGUCGAACGGCAGCACAGUAAGAGCUUGCUCUUACGGGUGGCGAGUGGCGGACGGGUGAGGAAUACAUCGGAAUCUACUUUUUCGUGGGGGAUAACGUAGGGAAACUUACGCUAAUACCGCAUACGACCUACGGGUGAAAGCAGGGGAUCUUCGGACCUUGCGCGAUUGAAUGAGCCGAUGUCGGAUUAGCUAGUUGGCGGGGUAAAGGCCCACCAAGGCGACGAUCCGUAGCUGGUCUGAGAGGAUGAUCAGCCACACUGGAACUGAGACACGGUCCAGGCUCCUACGGGAGGCAGCAGUGGGGAAUACUGGACAAUGGGCGCAAGCCUGAUCCAGCCAUACCGCGUGGGUGAAGAAGGCCUUCGGGUUGUAAAGCCCUUUUGUUGGGAAAGAAAAGCAGCAGGUUAAUACCCCGCUGUUCUGACGGUACCCAAAGAAUAAGCACCGGCUAACUUCGUG